UCCCUGGUAGCUCAGUGGUAGAGAAUCUGCCUGCAAUGCAGGAGACCUGGGUUUGAUCCCUGGGUUGGGGAA
rnacentral:tRNA from 1 species